ACACCCAUAGAGAUGGUUAGAGGAUGCAUUCUAGCAUGGACGUCACCAUUGAAGACAUCUGCCAUUUUAUUGUAGUCAGAAAGAUGGCACUUCAAACAGCUAAUAUCUACGGAGGACCAAGCUAGUUAUUGGCUGAUUCAUACUGAUUACCUAGUUGGUUAUCUUAAUAUCAACUUCAGCCAAUGAAUUACACUGAAAUUUACUACUUUAACAUAGAGAUCUCAAAGGUGUUGCCCUUGCUACACCAUACUCUGUAAUGACACAGAUAAACAGAGGUAAGACAUGGAAACACAGAGGAGAAUUCUUUCCAUCUCUGUGCCUAAACCUUUCACAUGCCUUUGGGAUUCAAAAUAUCUUGUUCACCAUUGUCUGAGAUAGAAAUGUGAUGUAUAAAGCUGACACUUUUAUCCAUUUGGCAGAGAAGCAGUCCUACUUUAUGCAUGACAUUUCUACUUUCUGAUUGCUGUGAUAUAACUCCCUGUCACGCUAAGAAAAUGUCUAAUUGACAUCGGUGACUUCUGCAGUUUGGCAUGGUUCUACACCUUCCUUGAGACUUAAUGGGUAAGUCAAAGCACCUUCUUGGAGAUUUUAAAGGGGAGGUUAAUGCACCUUUUAUAUUAGAUGGAACCAGUGGUUCAUGCACCUUUUGAGAAAGGGUUUUGGGCAGUCAUAUGGAGAAUCAAUCCUAGGGUGGGUGCAUUUAGAGAGUAUUGGAACAUAGGGUAGAUCUGCGGAUGUGGGAUUCACUGAGAUGACUGUAAAUAUUGAGAAGACUGUUGAGCUGACUGACUCCUUAUAGCUUCUAGCAAUUUCCUUUGUAGGAUGUUUGUUAUUGUGGAAACGUGUGGAAGGGAUGAGAGGAACAUUUAAAAAAAAAAAAAAAAUAGCUUUUUGUCCUUUUUCUUUUUUUUUUUAUUAGUCUCUUUUUUGUUAAUGAGAUGAAUGCGUGUGAGCUCCCAGCAUGCAUUGGGCCAAUAGAUCAGAUUGUCCUGAGGUUGGUAGAGGAAAAUGUGGAUGAUUUUGAUGAUAUUGGUGGUUGUGGCACUGUGUUAGACUGGAGGGGUACGGUUGUGUAGGGAGAGAUGUCACAGCUACCUGCUCUGGCUGUCUCUUUCAGAAUGUAUUACAGGAAAAUAAUAUAACACUUUUAAAACCCUUUUUUUAAUCCUUUAAAAUAUCCUACAAACUUAAGGUGGUGAACCAACUUCUUGCUGAAGAAAAAACAGAAAAGGAAAAAAGAACUGUACGAUAGAGCACUGUAUAUUUUUUCAUUGUUUAAGAUAAUGAUAAUUAUGUGGUUUGUGUCUAUCAGUGGGGAUGAUGUGACAGACUAGGGUACUGUCACCCAUCUAUUGGAGGUAUUGAUUUUGUGGAGGUGGGUUGCAAGAGCUGUAGAGGUUUGAAUUCUAAACACUGUACCUGCUAUUAAACUUGUACACUUGAGUCUGAUUUCAGCCUCCUGGACAGACACUAAUAUGGAGGCGGUCAGAUCCUCUCAGCGCCACAUGCGGUUAACGUUAUAUUGCAGCCCAGUGAACUGCCUGGGCCACCACCAGAUUGCAGUAUUUCCCCCACAAAGCAUAUGUUAGUUGGCUAGUGAUCCAAGUUAAGUUUUGUGAUCGGGGAGAGCGACCUGUCUAGCUCUAGCCAUGUGUUCAGAGCAGAGUAAAGUUUGUAUGGGUGCAUGAGAGACAGGAGAGUUCAUGCUAAAUUCCCCCCUCAUAUCCUCCAGUUAACGUCCCUCUUUCCUGACAUGCACAGUUAUUGUGAUUAUUAUUACACAGACAAGAGGGUGAAAAAUGUUGGCAGGUUCCAGUGAGGCAUAGGCUUGGCAGGAAGGACCUGUUUUCACUAUAUACAUAUAUAAAUAUGAAUAUAUAUAUAUAUGUGUGUGUGUGUGUGUUUGUGUGUGUGUGUAUAUAUAUACUGUGUGUAUAUAUAUAUACUGUGUAUAUAUAUAUACUGUAUAUUAUACAUAGAGGCACUAAAGAAGUCUGUUAGUUGUGCACUCUCACAGCAUGAGGUAUAUACCCCUAAACCGCUUAUUGAAACCAGUGCAGUAGCCCCCCCCCCCCGUCCCCAGUGUGUCUGUCCCUGCACCCUGCCCUCUGUGACCCCCUGGCACCCAGUGCUCUACUGCUCAUUCUGUUCUCUAUGUUCCAAGUGCCAAUGACUUUGUGAAACCCCUUAACUGUGACCCAUUAUUAUUCAAGAUAAUUGCACAUUAACUACUGUAAAGAAAAAUCAUUAAGAAAAAUGUUGAUAUGGAUUUAAAAAAUGAGUAUCUUAAUAAAAGGUUUGUAACAAGUUGUGUGGCCUUCUGCCUUCAUCCCCUAAAUAUGUGUACAACUGAUUAGAUUUACUUGGGAAAUUUUGUUAAAACGUCAGAUAUUCUCUAUUAUGGCUUUUGUUUUUGCUCUGGGCACAGUGGGUUGCCCAAUGGGUUUCUCCCAAUUAAGUUCCCAGACAAGACAUGAAUCCCUUUUUUCUUAUCACAUUAGUUGAAAUACCGGUGCUAUUAUGGAAAGUAACAGAAUUAAAAUGCUUUUCUCUCCUGUGUAAUAUGGAGAAAUCACUCUCACCUUUUAAUGAGAAACCUGGUUUAACAUGGGAAUGUGUCAAAUUAACCAUGUCUACCAGAAUGGUAUCUUUUUUCCUUUCUUCUUGUAACCAAGUAAAAGAUGCAUUGCGAUCUGAAUACCCAUUUCAUCCAUACCCAUUCAGUCUUGUUUGAAACUCAUCUAAACUGGGGGUUCUAUAAAAUCUGUAUCGCUGAAGCCUUAUGCAGAUUGUGCAACCAUGUAGCUAAACCUCAUUGCUGAGUGCUGUCUUAAUCCCUAUAGAUUGAAUCCAGUUCUUGAUGUUUUACGGUCAUGUGUAUUUCUAAGAUUAACAUAUUUUAUAUCACAUGCCAACAGACACAGGGAGAACAUCAUUUACAGGUUGAAGUAAGCAGGGAAGACAGUUUCUAACCAGCUUUGGACAAAUGAUUUCAGUUUUAAAAGCAUUAAUAACUUCACAAAAUGAAUACUGGAAUGUACUUUAAUUUAAUCACAUUUUGGACUAUUUUUUUUCAGAUUUAUCCAGUCUCAGGCCUGAUUUAAAUGUGCCUGAAAAAGGUUGAGGCACGAUUUCAAUGUUUCAAUCCAAUUAUUCCUAAACCAAUUUGCAGAGCUUUGGUUAUUUUAACAGAACCACUGGGGAAAUAUGAGUUUUGUGCAAAUUGGUGGAAUCUUAUUCAAAAUGAUUCACAGCUGUUAUGAUUGCCAAAGGUGCUUCCACCAAGACGUAUGCAGCGAAUACUUCAUUUUUGUAUUUGUUAUUUUGGAAACAUGCUAUAAUUUCAUGUGCUUUAAAUAAUGGAGUGCUUUAAAACAAGUGCUAUAAUUUUACUCCACUUUAGAAAUAUGUAGCUCAAUGUGUCGAUCAAUAGGUAAAAAAUAGUGAUUUCAUCCUUUUUAGAUUUAACUUAUUGCCGCAAAUAUAGGAAGUAUGUAUUAGGACAAUGACGUUUAUUAUGGGCUCUAUUCCAGCACAUUUGAUUUGGAAUUACAGUGCAGACAGUAAGCUACAAUUAAAUUGAACAUAGUAAAUUCUGAAGCCUGAUUAAGAAUUGUAUAAGAAACUGAGAAUUUAUAUUUUUUAUAUUGACAAGUAACAAAGUGUGCAUGGUGCAUAUGAACACUGAAAAUGUAUAAUAAUUAGUUGUUGUUAUACUGUAAAUUUGUCUCAGUUAAGAGUUUAAAUACAAACUUGAUAGUAUUAUGAACACUGAAAUUUAGGGAUACACCGAUUACAAUAUUCUGGGCCGAUAUUUGUGUAUAACACAAUCGACCCAUGUGGAUGCCAAUGUUUGUUUUUAUUUCUGUACCUGUGUACCUUGGCAUAAAUAAAAUGAAAAUGUUGCUUCUGAUGAUGCUUCUAAUUUCAAAAAAAUCCAUCUGGAGCACCUUUUUGAAGUGAUUGUUUGUCUUAAGCUAAACGUGUUGAUGCUUAUUGAUAAUUAAAACAGCAGCCUGAUCAAUCAGAGCAAUAUCUUUUGACACAACCUCACUUUCAUGAGCAUCACACCAAUGUCCGGGUGAUGAUGAGCAGGCCCAGCCCUACAAAAAUAAGGGGCUCUUGAAUGUACCUCUGCUGCUACCUCAGAUUAGGCACCACUCAAGCCAAGCCUUGUCGUGAGAAGGAUAAAAGUCCUCCAAACCAACAGAACUGGGCACAGAAAAAUUCUAAUGUGAGAAUAUUUUGUGUUUUUGGGUCACUGAUGUACCAGGAAAAAUAAAAGUUUGAAGAGUUCUGAAUCUGUCGAUGCAACUACUAGCUGUGUUACCCAGGAGGCCGCCGAGUCACCUUAACCAGCUGGUUUGAAUUUAAGUUUUUAUGUUUUCUAUAUAGUAACUGUUUUGUGAAUAAAAC
ensembl:lncRNA